UGGGUGACCUGCCUCUAGGUGGGGGAUAACCCGGGGAAACUCGGGCUAAUACCGCAUAACAUCGUGAGAUCAAAGAGGGGCGCAAGCCUCUCGCCGAGAGAGGGGCCCGCGUCUGAUUAGCUAGUUGGUGAGGUAACGGCUCACCAAGGCGACGAUCAGUAGCCGGCCUGAGAGGGCGACCGGCCACACUGGGACUGAGACACCGGCCCAGACCUCCGUACGGGGAGGCAG
rnacentral:rRNA from 1 species